GGAGUCUAGCAUGUGCGCGAGUCAUUGGGAGGCACUAGCUAAACCUAAAGGCGAAAUGAAAGUGAAGGCUCGCCCCGCGCGAGCCGAGGGAGGAUGGGCGGACGGCCGAGGCCCCGAGCCGAGGUCGCGUCCGCCCCGCACUCCCGGGGCGUCUCGUUCUCAUCGCGAGAAGAGGCGCACCCAGAGCGUACACGCUGGGACCCGAAAGAUGGUGAACUAUGCCUGGUCAGGACGAAGUCAGGGGAAACCCUGAUGGAGGUCCGUAGCGAUUCUGACGUGCAAAUCGAUCGUCGGAACUGGGUAUAGGGGCGAAAGACUAAUCGAACCAUCUAGUAGCUGGUUCCCUCCGAAGUUUCCCUCAGGAUAGCUGGCGCUCGACGCGCGAGUCUCAUCCGGUAAAGCGAAUGAUUAGAGGCAUUGGGGUCGAAACGGCCUCAACCUAUUCUCAAACUUUAAAUGGGUGAGAUCUCCGGCUUGCUCGAACGCUCUCGUUAGCUUUGUGAAGCCGCGAGAUCGGAUCAGAGUGCCAAGUGGGCCAUUUUUGGUAAGCAGAACUGGCGCUGUGGGAUGAACCAAACGCCGAGUUAAAGCGCCUAAAUCGACGCUUAUGGGAUACCAUGAAAGGCGUUGGUAACUUAAGACAGCAGGACGGUGGCCAUGGAA
rnacentral:rRNA from 1 species